GAUGAAGAACGUAGCGAAAUGCGAUAAGUAGUGUGAAUUGCAGAAUUCAGUGAAUCAUCGAAUCUUUGAACGCACAUUGCGCCCUUUGGUAUUCCAAAGGGCAUGCCUGUUCGAGCGUCAUUUGUACCCUCAGGCUUUGCUUGGUGUUGGGCGUCUUGUCUCUAGCUUUGCUGGAGACUCGCCUUAAAGUAAUUGGCAGCCGGCCUACUGGUUUCGGAGCGCAGCACAAGUCGCACUCUCUAUCAGCAAAGGUCUAGCAUCCAUUAAGCCUUUUUUUCAACUUUUGACCUCGGAUCAGGUAGGGAUACCCGCUGAACUUAAGCAUAUCAAUAAGCGGAGGA
rnacentral:misc_RNA from 1 species